rnacentral:rRNA from 1 species
GACGAACGCUGGCGGCGUGCCUAAUACAUGCAAGUAGAACGCACAGUUUAUACCGUAGCUUGCUACACCAUAGACUGUGAGUUGCGAACGGGUGAGUAACGCGUAGGUAACCUGCCUGGUAGCGGGGGAUAACUAUUGGAAACGAUAGCUAAUACAGCAUAAUAUUGAUUAUUGCAUGAUAAUUGAUUGAAAGAUGCUAUUGCAUCACUACCAGAUGGACCUGCGUUGUAUUAGCUAGUAGGUGAGGUAACGGCUCACCUAGGCGACGAUACAUAGCCGACCUGAGAGGGUGAUCGGCCACACUGGGACUGGGACACGGCCCAGACUCCUACGGGAGGCAGCAGUAGGGAAUCUUCGGCAAUGGACGAAAGUCUGACCGAGCAACGCCGCGUGAGUGAAGAAGGUUUUCGGAUCGUAAAGCUCUGUUGUAAGAGAAGAACGGGUGUGAGAGUGGAAAGUUCACACUGUGACGGUAUCUUACCAGAAAGGGACGGCUAACUACGUG